GCCGGGUGUGGUGGCGCUCGCCUGUAAUCCCAGUGGCUCAGGAGGCUGAGAAAGGAGAAUCACGAGUUCAAAGCCAGCCUCGGGAAUGGUGAGGCGCUAAGCAAUUCUGUGAGAUCCUGUCUCUA
rnacentral:sRNA from 1 species